rnacentral:lncRNA from 1 species
UUUGUAUUUUGGAUUUUAUGAUGUACUAUUUCAUGCUUUCAUUAGUGGAUUUAGUUCCUUUGUUUAUCUAUUCUACUUAUCUCUAGAAUCUAGAUGUAUGCUCUGAUAUCUUUAGAUACUCGAUAUACUUGUCUUAUUAUCGCUUUAUUGUAGACGUCUUAUAUGUGUUGACAUAUGGCGGGUCUGGACCCACACCGGGCGGGCCUCCGCUAGGUCUCGAGGCGUGACAUAUAUAUAUAGAGAGAGAGAGAGAGUAGAGCUACUAUGCUAUCUGAAGCAUAAAUUGGUUGGUGCUUCCAAUUUUUUAGCCCUUAGAUCAACUCCAUUGAUCAUUUCUAAUCAUUAGAUUAAUAUUAUUAACCAAAGGGGAUUCACUAAACCCUAGGGUGACCACUCAACCCUAAGGGGAUCGCUAUCAUCCCAACCGUAAAAUUUUUUAUCAAAGGGUUAAAAAAUCGGAAGCAUCAACUUCUUUAUGCUUUCGAUAGCAUAGUAGCUCCACACUAUAUAUAUAUACACUAGUUAAGGAAUUCGUCGUAACGGUUCUUUUACUUUCUUUACAGAUAAUUAAUAAAUAACAAAAUAUUUUUAUUUAUAAAAUAAAUAUUUCACUUUAUUAAAUAAACAAAUUUUAGAGGCAUUUUCCAUCACAAAGUAAUGGGCGUGCAUUUUCCAUCAAAAUUUUAUUUUUUUUCUUUUUAAAUUUUAGAUAUUCAAAUUUUAAAUUUUAAAUUUUUAAAUUUUAUAUUUUAUAUUUUAUAUUUCAAAUUUUAAAUCUCAAAUUUUAAAUUUUAAAUUUCAAAUUUUAAAUAUUAAAUUUUAAAUUUUUAAUUUUUAAUUUUUAAAUUUUUAAAUUUUAAAUUUUAAAUUUUAAAUUUAAAUUUUUAUUUUUAAAUUUUUUAACCUUUUAAAUCUUAAAUUUCAAAUUUAAAUUUUAAAUUUAGAUUUUAAAUUUGAAAUUAAAAAUUUAAAUUUACAUGUAAAAUUCAAAUUGUAAAUUUUAGAUUUUCAAAUUUGAACUUUAUUUUUUAAAUCAAAAUAUCAAAUUUUAAAUUUUUUAUAAAUUUUAUAUUUUAUUAAAAUAUUAAAUUAUUUUAAAAUAAAAUUUAGUAAAAAUAUUAUUAUAUCUAAACAUCAAAUUUUUUUCCCAAACAGCUUAACAAAAUCUUUCAACAAAAUAGCUUUUUGUUUAAACUCAGCGAAAUGCUCUACAGCUUUUAACCAAAAUCACUUCUCCAAAUCAAAAUUAAUUUUAAAAAAAUUACUUUUCCAAAAGUUAGGCCAAACGGGCCCUUUUUUUACUUAACCAGAAAAUGCUGAAAGAGCGCCAUCCUAGUGUCCCUAUAUAUAUAUAUAUAUAUAUAUAUAUAGAGAGAGAGAGAGAGAGAGAGAGAGAGAGAGAGAGAGAGAGAGAGUUGAGCUAGAAUACUAUCGAUAGCAAACGGGUUCCGUUGCCACCCAUUUGUUUUCGAUGAUAGAGCCUCCAAAUCGACGAUCGGCACUGUUGAAUAUGAUCUAUACUACUUAAAGUGUUUAAAAAUCAAAUUUCAAAUCUUUUCGACAUCAUUUGCCUAAUGAUCAAAGGGUUUCAAAAUUUGUAAUUUUAAUGGUCAAUAUGAGGCGUUUUCUCGUUUAACGACGUAAAGAUAUACAAAUCAAUUGAAUUUUUGUUAUAAAAUUCUUUAAACUAUUUAAAACAAGAUCUAUACUCUUGAUCUGGAAUACAAGACUCCUAUCAUUAUUUUUUAAAGAAUAUUCAUUUUCAGCCGUUCAUUUUUGUGUCCACUCGAUGGAUAAGAAAACAAUAUCGAAAAAGUAUGAAAUUUGAUUUCUAGAUACUUCAAGUGGUAUAGAUCAUAUUCAACAGUGCCAAUCGUCGAUUUGGAGGCUCCAUCAUCGAAAACAAAUGGGUGGCAACGGAGCCCAUUAGCUACCGAUAGUAUUCCAGCUCAACUCUAUAUAUAUAUAUAUAUAUACACUAGUUAAGGAACCCCUAUGUAACGGUUCUUUUACCUUCUUUACAAAUAAUUAAUAAAUAACAAAAUAUUUUUAUUUAUAAAAUAAAUAACAAUAUAUUUCACUUUAGUAAAUAAACAAAUUUUAGAGGCAUUUUCCAUCACAACGUAAUGGGCCUGCAUUUUCCAUCACAAAUUUUAUUUUUUCUUUUUAAAUUUUAGAUAUUCAAAAUUUUAAAUUUGAAAUUUUUAAAUUUUAUAUUUUAUAUUUUAUAUUUUAUAUUUUAUAUUUCAAGUUUCAAAUUUUAAAUUUCAAAAUUUUCAAAUUUAAACUUUAUUUUUAAAAUUAAAAUAUCAAAUUUUAAAUUUUUUAUAAAUUUUAUAUUUUAUUCAAAUAUUAAAUUAUUUUAAAAUAAAAUUUUCUAAAAAUAUUAUUAUAUCUAAACAUCAAAAUAUUUUUACCAAACAGCUUAACAAAAUCUUUCAGAAAAAUAGUUUUUUGUCGAAACUCAGCGAAACGCUAUACAGCUUUUAACCAAAAUCACUUCUCCAAAUCAAAAUUAAUUUUGCAAAAAUCACUUUUCCAAAAUUUA